UUAUUCUCUGAGGUAUUCUCAACAAAGGCCCAUUGUAGUCACCCAAAAUGUAAUUUUUACUAAAGCAGUUUCUUAGGUGUUCUCCUCCUGGAAGGCAUGUAUGAAUGACCAAGCUACUUUGCCUCAUCACAGACAUUUUGCUGGGUUUAUAAUAGACAAUAGCUAAUGUUUCCACUCUGUUCCUACUGGUAUCAAUAAUACCUACUGAGUUUAUUGCUCAAGCCACCAGAAUUCUCUUUCCUUGAAGGUGCAUAGGGUCCUGGGGGUUCAAGUUGGAGAGCAGCACAAUUUUCAGCCUUUGCCUAGUACCAUAUUAAACUCUUGAGGAUAGCCUUGUCUCUGAUUUGCCGUCUGCUAUGUCAUAACAGACACGAGCUAGCCUGGUGUCAGCUACUGAGCCAUGUACCUAAACUCAGACUCUUCCUGAUUCACACAGCUCCAGCAACCAGAUAAUUUACCCAGUUACUCUUUGUGGCUUUUCAGUGAUGGGGCCAUUACUGCCUUAAUCCUGAGCUUCUUUGGAGACUUCUCAGAAAGAUGAUGAAUGAUCAUUUGCCCUCUGUAUUUUCAUUCCAUUUCUUGGGACAGCAUGCUCUAUUUCAGAUAGAUUUCCAAAAUUUUGUGCAAAAUCAAGAGGUUGGAUUUUGGGUCCUUGCUCUGUUCCCUUUUCCUCUUUACAUGUUCCUUCAUCUUUAUUUACUCGGCACAUCUGUAUUCUUACUUCUAGAAGCCAGGCAUGUAGCCUUCACUGACCUUUCUGAUCUGAAUGUUUGAGUCCUCACAAAAUUUGUAUUUUGAAGUCUCAACCACCAAGGUGAUGGUGUCAGGAGGUGUGCAUAUGGAGGAGUCGCAGGUGGAAUGAGUGCCCUUCUCAAAGUGGUCUGAGAUGAAUCCCUCAUUCUUCUGCUCUUUGAGGUUACAGCAGACUCUGCAGUGUGAGAUCUGAACCAGGCUGUCACCAGAACCCGACCAUGCUGACAACCUGAUCUUGGAUUUCCAGAUUCUAAAACUGAUGCAGAAAUUCUAGGCCCAGGAACUGAACCUGGGCCACAACUGCAAAGAGCCACAGCAGUGACAAUACUGAAUCCUUAACCCACUGAGCUACCAGGGUUACCGGUCAGUUCAGAAAUCUUUCAGCUCAUGAGGACUGCACCUUAAUUUUAUUCUUAGAAGAGUUGGCAUGACACAGGAUUGAGGAAAUUUAGCAGGUCAGACUAUUUCAUUUCCUUUAGUAAGAAUUGUAUCAACUAAAUGGAAUUUGCCCAAAUUUUAUUUGCAACACGAGGGCUUUCUUUGUAAGAUUCUCAGGGACAUGCAAAUGCAGGGUGACUGCAUUUCUUUAUUUAAAAUUUUGACAUUUUGUUCCUCUUGCCUGUUUUGUCAUCAAUUUUCAUUUUAAAAUAUUAAAUUAGGAGUUCCCUCUGUGGCGCAACAGGAUCAGAAGCGUCUUGGGAACACUGGGAUGCAGGUUCCAUCCCCGACGCAGUGGGUUGCAGAUCUGACAUUGCCACUGCUGUCGUUUAGGUUGCAAUUGCAGCUUGGAUCUGAUCCUUUGCCUAGGAACUCCAUAUGCCAUAGGGAAGCCAAAAGAGAAAAAAAAAAAAUAUAUGUAUAUAUAUAUAUGUAUUACAUUAAAACAUUCUUUAUCUUAAUUAAUUAGAUUUGGUGCGUCCUUCCAUUCCCUGCUUAAGGGAUAUAACACCCUAAGUUUAUCCUAAUACUAAGCUAGGAAAUAGCUUUUGAAUUAGAGUAUCAUGCCACUCAAUGGCUGUUAAGUAUAUAUAUGUUAACUGUUUUCCUGGCCUCUACAACAUGAUUUUAAUGUUUUUUUUUAAGGAAUAAAAAAACUCUUUGGCCCUCUUCAUCUGAUUUCCUUUCUCACACACCCACUUGCUAUGGUAACCACAAAUUUGAUUUCUUUUUCUCUGAGCUUGUUUGUUUUUAAAUUAUAAUUUAAUCCUUGUCACCUCUCCUUGAGCACCAAAGAUGGUCUGAAACAAAUUCAGGAUGAAGGGAACUGUUGAUCUCAUUUACGACAUUCACAGAGCAGCAUAUUUUGUUGUUGUUGUUGUUUUAAGUCAGAAAACAUUCUUAGAUGCUGGUUCUCUCCAAAGGGCUUCAGGCACUGUAGGAUUUCUCCCCUAAUGCCCUAGGCACUUCUCUAAAGAUAGAAAUUUGGGCUCUGCUCCCUUACAGUCCUGCAGGCAAGCCCUCUCCUAGAGUUUGCAUUUGGGGCCUAAACCUGCAGAUUCCUGAGGAUGGUAAGGGACUGUAGUCAGAGCUUCUCUGGGCUGGUCUGAGAGUGGACUCCAAACAUACAAGGCUUCUAUCAUUCACUCUGUUCAAAUUCUCUGCCUGUAACAUGCAAAAUUUACUUGUUUUGAUCUAUUCAGUGUCCUGUGUGACCACUACUAAAGUUGUCCUGAUUUAUAAAAAGAAGAAAUGAAAAUCUGAUGUCAUUUGAGGUUAGGAGCCACAGAUUUACUCUGAAUGGAGCUUUCUGCUGCUUCCAGUCCCUCCUCUUCAUCAGCUAGUAGUAUUUGGUACAAUUUAGGAAGCGUGAAAAAAGUGUGCAGGAUGAAAGCUCUAAGUAUUCAUAUCAGAAUCGAAAAUGGGAUACACAGAGACUCUCUUUUCUAUUUCAACCUUGGGCCUCAUAGAGAUGAAUACAUUCUAUCAGAUUGAUCCUCUGUCACAUUCCAUGAGUGUGUUUAAUUUCCAAUGUAAUAAAUUAAAACAUUGAAAUGUAAGCAUUGAAGUUGUGAUGUAGUGACCUCUAAAUGGAAGAAAAAUUGGAACAAUGUGGAAAAAAUAUUGGCAUAAGUAGAGAAAUGACAAUCCUGGCCUAUUUAAGACUCUCCUUUGCAGGCAGGUACUCGGAGCAGCUGGAGAAAGGCUCCCAUGGCCAGACAUCUGCAUCAGCAAGCUCACCGUGGGCCUCCCAGCCUCUUCACUGGUAACACAGAGGAUGAUGGUCUCCAACCCUGUCUGCAUACUUAGCUGUGACCUGGCCCAGAUCCAUGGCCUGCCAAAGCAGGAGACUGUCCCAGUUCUGCACCUAAUGGGAGAGUAUUUCGUGUUUUCCUGCUUGAAGGAUGGGAAUGCUGCCCCUAGAAGCAGCUAGAUAGCAGGCAAUUCCAGAGCCUCAGGCCACCUCUUUCUCCAUGAGAUGAUCCAGCAGAGCUUCAAUUUCUUUGGCACAAACAGCUGAGGUUCCUCACCGGGCUCCUGCUAGCAGUGGGAAGAUCUGAAGACCAGUUUGAUGCAGGAGAUUGGAGAGGAAAAGACCUUUCUCCAUCCUGAGUUUGAAGAACUCCUUCCAAAGGACCAGGCUCCAUCCGAAAAAGAAAGUACAUGGUUGCUGUGCCUGGGACAUUGUCAGAUUGGAAAUUAAGACCUGAAGACAAGUGUGUGCUUUCCCUAUAAGAUCAAUCUCAGAGAAAACCUAGAAGUGGGAAAGGAGACUUGGACCCAGUCGUCCACGAUUGAGUCUUAUCUACUUAUAGGUGGCCUCAAAGAGUCAUCAAUGUUCACUCAGUUCAGAGAUUUUUUUCCUGCUUUGGUUAUAAAUGCAUUGAAUCAUCUUGGCACAUUGUUUUUACUUGUGAGUGGAAACCAUACUUUUGAAUCCAGAGAAAACGUAUUCUUAAUUUGUGCUUAUUAUAAUUCAUCUCUCUAUAAUGAUUGUUGUAUUUACAAAGUUUAUUUUCAUCAUUAUUAUACUGUCAGCUUUCUUUUGGAGAUGCACAAGGUAUAUUUUAAAUGUUAGCUCUUACUUAUACUCUUACAGAAAAUCAAAGUGUUGGAGUUCCUUCUGUGGCACGGUGGAGAAUCAAAGUGUCCUUAAACCUUAAAUCUGCCUUAAAAGCCAAAAGAAA